rnacentral:rRNA from 1 species
AGCGAACGCUGGCGGCAGGCCUAACACAUGCAAGUCGAACGAACUCUUCGGAGUUAGUGGCGGACGGGUGAGUAACACGUGGGAACGUGCCUUUUGGUUCGGAAUAACUCAGGGAAACUUGUGCUAAUACCGAAUGUGCCCUUCGGGGGAAAGAUUUAUCGCCAUUAGAACGGCCCGCGUCUGAUUAGCUAGUUGGUGAGGUAACGGCUCACCAAGGCGACGAUCAGUAGCUGGUCUGAGAGGAUGACCAGCCACACUGGGACUGAGACACGGCCCAGACUCCUACGGGAGGCAGCAGUGGGGAAUCUUGCGCAAUGGGCGAAAGCCUGACGCAGCCAUGCCGCGUGAAUGAUGAAGGUCUUAGGAUUGUAAAAUUCUUUCACCGGGGACGAUAAUGACGGUACCCGGAGAAGAAGCCCCGGCUAACUUCGUG